rnacentral:misc_RNA from 1 species
UUUCCGUAGGUGAACCUGCGGAAGGAUCAUUAUUGAAUGAAACACUACUGGCUUUAUGCUGUUGUGCUGGCCCUUUGGGCAAUGUGCACACGGCUCUGGUCACUUGUUUCUUCUGUUCCACCUGUGCACUGCCUGUAGACACGCUGUGUCUAUGAUAUUUGUUAACACACAACAAUGUUAGUUGGCAUGUUAUAUAUAAUAAUAAAAUAUACAACUUUCAACAACGGAUCUCUUGGCUCUC